UAUUCCUAUUUAUUAUAUGCUUAUCACUAGUGUCACCUCUUCCAUAGAAAACCAUGUAAUGCUCUUGAGAUGACAAGGGUGCAAUUGAGGGUAUACUCUAUAUAUAAUAUAAUUUGUAUUAGUGGAUUUUUAUUGCUUCACUUCAUGUGAUAAUCAAUAUUGAUACUGAAACUUUUGCUGUCAAAUCCUAGGAUGCUGUCUGAAAAGAAAAUUCGGCCAGUAAAAAGCUGCUGAUUGAAUGACAGUGCACUUGAGAAAUGGCGGGAUGAUCUCUGAAAAAAUCACCUCACCCAGUAAAAGCUGCUCCUUAUUGCAUCAUAGAACACUUGUGAUGUUACUAUUCUAUCGCCAAGGAUGCUGUCUGAAAAGAAAAUUCGGCCAGUAAAAAGCUGCUGAUUGAAUGACAGUGCACUUGAGAAAUGGCGGGAUGAUCUCUGAAAAAAUCACCUCACCCAGUAAAAGCUGCUCCUUAUUGCAUCAUAGAACACUUGUGAUGUUACUAUUCUAUCGCCAAGGAUGCUGUCUGAAAAGAAAAUUCGGCCAGUAAAAAGCUGCUGAUUGAAUGACAGUGCA